GACAGAGGAUGCAAGCGUUAUCCGGAAUGAUUGGGCGUAAAGCGUCUGUAGGUGGCUUUUCAAGUCCGCCCGUCAAAUCCCAGGGCUCAACCCUGGACAGGCGGUGGAAACUACCAAGCUGGAGUACGGUAGGGGGCAGAGGGAAUUUCCGGGUGGAGCGGUGAAAUGCAUUGAGAUCGGAAAGAACACCAACGGCGAAAGCACUCUGCUGGGCCGACACUGACACUGAGAGACGAAAGCUAGGGGAGCAAACAGG
rnacentral:rRNA from 1 species